rnacentral:lncRNA from 1 species
UUUAAUACUUACCUUUUUUUGAGAUGAGUUUCAUUGAGAAUAUCAAAAGCUAUCUCCAAGUGAACAUUACUAGCCAUCAACCAAUUUUGCACAAAAGCCUAUGUUGUCUAUGACCACCAGAAAAUAAGCAGCAUCUAUAGUUUUUUAACCACUUUAUAACAAAGUAGAGAAACUUAUCUUUCAGAUGCUAGAUCCAUCCCCCACCGUCAUUUACCAAGUUACAUACACAAAUGCCUUAUUCUCCCCUUUUGCUUUCCCCUGAAGACUUUUGCAAUUAACAAUAAAAGAUGGCUAAUACCAUUAGAUUGCCUUUUAAGAACUUUUAAUUUGCUAACACAUUAACACAAGAGUCAAAAUCUUAUCUUAACAAUUUAAAGAUUAACUGAUAGACCCAGUUAGAAUCUUACAUGAAGAGGAAAAAGGACAACCAUGCAUAGUUUUUUAAAAAAUGUUUAUUUUUUCAAAGAAAACGGCAAUAGCCAAUUGGAAACCUACUUAUUCUUCAACUCCAAUUUUGUUUUCUUUAAAUUUAGAAGUGACUUACUGAUUUACUAUUUUAAACAAACCCCCCCUUUCCCCUUUAAAUGUUUACCAUCUACUCGUGCUGAAUCCUUCCAAGGAGAUUGCUCCAGCGUUUAUCUCCAGGUCCUCGCUUUGCUCCUUUUACCAAAAAACGCAAAACACAAUUCCAUCGUGCAUCUUAAGGGCUCCAAUCGUCAAAAAUAGGAAAAAAAAAAUCUUUGGAAUAGCCAAUUAAGUUGAAUAAAAAAAUCCACACGAAUGCGGUUUGGUUGGGGCAGGAAUCCACUCCUAUGUUCCUGGUAAUCUGAUCCCGCUCCAUGAAUCCUGGUAAUUCAUCCUCCCUAUCCUAUCCACAUUAUGAUUUGAAUCCAAUGAUCCAGCUCCAAGGAUUGGGAUCCAGUGAGCCCUCUCCAAUCCAAACCUUUAUAACCAGCAAAACCAAAAAAGAGGAGGCAAAAUGUUAGAUACUGUAAUCAAAAAAGGUUUCUGGGGAAUGAUGAGUUAUGUCUGUCAUCAGUUUAACAGAUGCACAUCAAUAACUAUCAAAUUCCCCAAAACAAGUUUCUGAAUGGUGUUCAGAUAAAUUUUAGAAACUUAAUCAUCAUAGAGACUAAUUGGAAGAAGCAUUUUGUAUUUACAGUUCAACUGAUAAUGCCAACACUUGUUACUGUACAGCAUAUUACAGGUUUCGUGGUUGCAAGAAGUUACGUAAUUUAAGUUUACUGGCAUUGCUACCCACCUAAGUCUAAAACUAAAUCUAAUGCUCCCAUUUGAAUUUAAUUUGUAAAUUAAAGUCUUUUAAACAUAUUAACCAAUUAUGAAUAUUAGUUUAAAGGGGAAGGUGAGACUUAAAAGUAUUCCCAACUAGAUUAUCUACACCAAUACAUUGGAACUCUAUAUUUUGCUUUCAUUUUGUCUUAAAAAAAUGAAAUAGCAACGCUCUAUCAGUCACACAGAGGACAUGCAGAUUUAGCAGUAUUGAUAUUAUACUCUAUCUUGUUGGAUUUAAAAACACCCUGUACCCACAUGUACACCAACAGCAGGUCACACAUUAACAGUUGUAACUAAGCACUGUGACAAAUUAGCCAGUUCUUCCCACAUUAGUCCCUAUUAAAACAAAAAUGGGGGGAAGGGAGCAAAAUAAGUUGCUACAAAAUGGGCAAUAUAAUUUUGCCACAAUUGCCAAGGUUUAAAAAGCAAAGCAAUUGUAGCUAAAGACAACUGAAUAAAAUGUUUGCAAGUGUUUUAAGGAAAAUGUAUAUAAUCAUUUUUAACCCCUGCCUUUUAGUAUAAGGUCAAUACUGCCAAUUUCAUCUGUGACAAUAGCACUUGGAGUCAUACCAUUGCCUCCAUUAUUGAUCUGAUCCUCCUCAAUCCUCCUUUUGACAAUCCUAAAAUGAUUGAAAUGUGCUCCACAAUCCUUAAUCCAAAGCAUUCUUAAUCCAUCUCUUCAGAUAUGUCUACAGAAAGACACAUGAAAAGCAAGAUAAACAUAAGAACUUCCCCAGGUAAGAUAACCACAAACACCCCCAACAUCCCAGUUCACACAAACCAGGGCAGAUAGACAUUUACACAAUAUCACAGUCUGAAGAGUAUGGAGUUAACUAAAUUUAAACAAUCCUGUCUAUGACAUCACUUAAAAUACAAUUUAUCAAAGACACGAAGGGAAUGUAGAUGUUAGGAGCAAGGGGAUAUUACAAGAAUGCAAUUCAACACUUUAGCCCAUUCUGAACAAAACAGUUUGAAUUAAAAAAUGAAAAGAUUGUACUGAAUAAAGGAAAACUGUAUACAACAUGGGUUCUACAAAAAGUGUCACCAAUCAUCUUAUGUACGAGAGCGAGAUCUGCUAUGACGGGGAGAAUAGCGUGGUGAUCCUCUGCUUCUCCUUGGGGAGUAACUGCGACUCCUGCUGUUGCUUCUGCUACGGCUUCUGCUACGACUACGGCUUCGAGAUCGAGAUCUUCCAUAACUUGGACUUCUGGGCCCAUCAACUUUAACCCGGAUGUAGGCAGUUUCUCCCUAUUGGAUAGACAGAACUUUCCAUUGAAAGAUCUAAGCUUUCAUCUGUCUUCAGACAUGCUGAAUGAAUACAAUGUAACUAAAACCAGAAAUCUGGCAAUUUACUCGGACACCCUUGCCUGAAUCCUUACCUUGAAGUUCCACUGUUAAGACCACUGUAUCCAAUUCUGGUCAAAGAAAAGAAUACGUGUAUAACCUACCUCAUGAGAUCUAAACUUAGUGUUAUCCAGUUUUCGAACUGCAUAGGUCAUAUCUUCUUUCCGUACAAACUCCACGACACCAGUGCCAUCUCGGUAAACAUCAGCAUAACAUACAUCACCUGCUUCACGCAUGUGAUCCUUUAAAUCCUGCCAACUUCCACUUGGAGGCAGUCCUGGAAAAGUGAUUUUUUUUUUCUUAGUAUCAAUUAUCUUAAAUUUCACGUUAAGCUGGUAAGGUACAUUAGGACAAAGAGUACUUUAAAGUACUUAAUAGGUGUACUUAAGUGAUACCAGGUAAAGAGAGCUGGUAAGAUUCUGGAAUCCAGAGUCCAAAAUUAUUUGUAACGAUCUUCGUAUCUAGUACCGCAACCUAAUUUGGUAAAUCACCACAGCAGCAAUCCUCGUUUAUUAAAUUCACCCAAAAACUUAAGCAAUUUAAGACCUAGCAUGAAAAAUUUGCAAUUAUUAAACCUGUCACGCAAGAGAAAAAAUUUAGGUAGUUUUCGUCCCUUCACAUCAAUCCACACAACCAGUACACUCACCAGAGACAACCACUCUGUUUUCAGACCGCCUGGAUGGGGGGCCAUAGCGACCUCGGGGAGCUCCGCCACCUCCACCCCCGCCGCCGCCUCGGCCUGUUCCACGGCCGCUUCGAGGAAACUCCACCCGCAGACGGUACCCAUCGUAAUCAUAGCCGUCGCGACCAUACACCGCGUCUUCCGCGUCUCUGCGGGAUCGCAGAAAGUAAAAGGAUGAGAAACACCAGGAGGAGAAGCUCGCUCAGUCGGGAACCAGCAAACCCCCCGCACAUGCGCACCCAACGUGGAAGAGCCCACAUGCGCCGCAUAAUAGGAAUGGCCCCUCCCCCACCCAGAAACACGCCAGGCUCCCAACCACUACACCAGCCCUCAGCGCCUCAGUUUCCCGCUCCAGCCUGCGAAUGGGCUCCGGGGACGUCCAAGGCGAGGCGCCAGAGAAGCCACACCAACUCAGCUCCUUACUCGACUCCUGCAUGGGCGAUACAGUCUCGCCCCAACCUCUCUAAGAGCCCCCGCUUCCCCGUUCUCUAUGUUAAGGCCUUGGAGCCUUCCCCGACUACUCGGACCUAUUUCCUCAAGGCUGCAAGCCCCAUGCCGCCUCACCGCGGGUCCUCGAACUCAACGAAGGCGAAGGGCGGUCCCCCGCGGCGAUUCUUGAGGUCGAUGUCGCGGAUAGCGCCGUAUUUGUAGAACACGUCCUCAAUGUCCUUGGUUCGGAUGUCUGGAGGUAAGUUACCCACGUAGAUGCGGCAAUCGUUGUUCCCUGCGGGGCCACGAAUCACACCACCUCCCGACAUGGCGGUGACGAAAAGCGCGGACUCGAGAACAGGCCUUCCCACCAAGCCUAGCGCACGGCAGAGCGAGCCCGCAGCGGCACCACGUCUCCCGCGGCCCCUCCAAAAUGGCGCCUUUAUCAGCUCGGCGCACGGAUAUGGGGGGGAGACAGAGGAAGAGAAGCGGAAGGAAACAGCGAUUCGAUCCCAACACGCACGCGCGGGAGCGCAACGGGUGCUGCGAGGGCUACGCUCAGCGCACGCGCACGCACGCGCGACGUCACCCUCCGCACGAAGGGGGAAAAAAAGUCCCCCGCGUUCCCAGCUUGGGGUGGUUUGCGAACAGAGUGACCAGCCGUUUGGUAAAAGUUAAAUAACGAACUUUCGUUAAAGGAGCUAGUCAUCCAGGUCGGGUCUUGAAGGAUGGUCGAUUUCUCCAGGAAUGAGGAUCUUUGAAAGCAACUCGGCGCCUUCAAAGCACUUGGUGAAACCUAGCCUAAAGCGUUGUCCCACCAUGCUCUGCGGCGAUAACGGCCUUUGGCGGGAAAGAGUCUCGGAGGCGGGGCCAAAAGGGGACGGCCCGGGCGGUUGCUCCGGAAACCCGGGUAUCUUCGUAGGGUGCGUCUAGUCCAGAGCUGAGUUGCGGGUGAUUGAACGGAGAGCUGGGGCGUUGGUUUGUCUUCCCGCCCCUGCUGCGAAUAGACCGUGGCUGCUUAGACAGAUGUGUCUAAUUUAGCGAAACCGAUUUAGAUUCCUUAAUCCUCUUCAUUAAGUACUGUUCCACCUUCUCGUCAGAACUUUGCAUAGCUCGGUUCAGCACUCCUAGUGCUAGUCGCAGUGGGUCCGUAUCUCGACCGGCAACGUGGUACCCGCCAACCAGAAGGGGUAACACCGUACCGCCUAUGGGACCCACACCUUUUUAUCUCUUGUUAGUCGCCUGUCCGUGGGACUAGCGCAGAAUGCCUGCAGAAUGAAUCGUUUCUGUUGUUUCCUUUCAAAGAACGAGAAGGAAGAAAGGGACCAUUGCAGAGCUUAUUAGACCGAGAGCACUG